rnacentral:rRNA from 1 species
UCAGAAAGCCACGGCUAACUACGUGCCAGCAGCCGCGGUAAUACGUAGGUGGCAAGCGUUAUCCGGAAUUAUUGGGCGUAAAGCGCGCGUAGGCGGUUUUUUAAGUCUGAUGUGAAAGCCCACGGCUCAACCGUGGAGGGUCAUUGGAAACUGGAAAACUUGAGUGCAGAAGAGGAAAGUGGAAUUCCAUGUGUAGCGGUGAAAUGCGCAGAGAUAUGGAGGAACACCAGUGGCGAAGGCGACUUUCUGGUCUGUAACUGACGCUGAUGUGCGAAAGCGUGGGGAUCAAACAGGAUUAGAUACCCUGGUAGUCCACGCCGUAAACGA